AUUGAACGCUGGCGGAAUGCUUUACACAUGCAAGUCGAACGGCAGCACGGGGGCAACCCUGGUGGCGAGUGGCGAACGGGUGAGUAAUACAUCGGAACGUGCCCGGUCGUGGGGGAUAACGUAGCGAAAGUUACGCUAAUACCGCAUACGAUCUGAGGAUGAAAGCGGGGGACCUUCGGGCCUCGCGCGAUCUGAUCGGCCGAUGUCAGAUUAGGUAGUUGGUGGGGUAAAGGCCUACCAAGCCGACGAUCUGUAGCUGGUCUGAGAGGACGACCAGCCACACUGGGACUGAGACACGGCCCAGACUCCUACGGGAGGCAGCAGUGGGGAAUUUUGGACAAUGGGCGCAAGCCUGAUCCAGCCAUUCCGCGUGCAGGACGAAGGCCUUCGGGUUGUAAACUGCUUUUGUAUGGAACGAAAAGGCUCUGGCUAAUACCUGGGGCUCAUGACGGUACCGUAAGAAUAAGCACCGGCUAACUACGUG
rnacentral:rRNA from 1 species